GGAGCCUUUUUAUUUCCUUGUGGCUAUCAUGAAGAUGCUGGGAAACAAAAAUGACGGCACUCUCUACACCCCAGAUGAUCUCUCGAUGAAGAAACUGAGACCCAGAGAAAUGAAGGGGCUUGUUCCAGGCCACGAGCUCCAUUUUACAGAUGAAGAAACUGAGACCCAGAGAAAUGAAGGGGCUUGUUCCAGGCCACAAGAAACCUUGGGGAGCAGGCAUUUGGAAUCAGGCCCUUGGUAGGAGACACCAGGUCACUCUGUCCUCACAGGUGUGUCCUGCUGAGACUCUAGGCUGCUUCAGGCUGGAGCUGUCUGUGAUUGGGUUUGAGGAGGGCCCAUCUGUGGGGACUGCUGUGUUCCGGC